GAGUUUGAUCCUGGCUCAGGACGAACGCUGGCGGCGUGCCUAAUACAUGCAAGUAGAACGCUGAAGAGAGGAGCUUGCUCUUCUUGGAUGAGUUGCGAACGGGUGAGUAACGCGUAGGUAACCUGCCUUGUAGCGGGGGAUAACUAUUGGAAACGAUAGCUAAUACCGCAUAACAAUGGAUGACACAUGUCAUUUAUUUGAAAGGGGCAAUUGCUCCACUACAAGAUGGACCUGCGUUGUAUUAGCUAGUAGGUGAGGUAACGGCUCACCUAGGCGACGAUACAUAGCCGACCUGAGAGGGUGAUCGGCCACACUGGGACUGAGACACGGCCCAGACUCCUACGGGAGGCAGCAGUAGGUAAUCUUCGGCAAUGGGGGCAACCCUGACCGAGCAACGCCGCGUGAGUGAAGAAGGUUUUCGGAUCGUAAAGCUCUGUUGUAAGUCAAGAACGAGUGUGAGAGUGGAAAGUUCACACUGUGACGGUAGCUUACCAGAAAGGGACGGCUAACUACGUGCCAGCAGCCGCGGUAAUACGUAGGUCCCGAGCGUUGUCCGGAUUUAUUGGGCGUAAAGCGAGCGCAGGCGGUUUGAUAAGUCUGAAGUUAAAGGCUGUGGCUCAACCAUAGUUCGCUUUGGAAACUGUCAAACUUGAGUGCAGAAGGGGAGAGUGGAAUUCCAUGUGUAGCGGUGAAAUGCGUAGAUAUAUGGAGGAACACCGGUGGCGAAAGCGGCUCUCUGGUCUGUAACUGACGCUGAGGCUCGAAAGCGUGGGGAGCGAACAGGAUUAGAUACCCUGGUAGUCCACGCCGUAAACGAUGAGUGCUAGGUGUUGGAUCCUUUCCGGGAUUCAGUGCCGCAGCUAACGCAUUAAGCACUCCGCCUGGGGAGUACGACCGCAAGGUUGAAACUCAAAGGAAUUGACGGGGGCCCGCACAAGCGGUGGAGCAUGUGGUUUAAUUCGAAGCAACGCGAAGAACCUUACCAGGUCUUGACAUCCCGAUGCUAUUUCUAGAGAUAGAAAGUUACUUCGGUACAUCGGUGACAGGUGGUGCAUGGUUGUCGUCAGCUCGUGUCGUGAGAUGUUGGGUUAAGUCCCGCAACGAGCGCAACCCCUAUUGUUAGUUGCCAUCAUUCAGUUGGGCACUCUAGCGAGACUGCCGGUAAUAAACCGGAGGAAGGUGGGGAUGACGUCAAAUCAUCAUGCCCCUUAUGACCUGGGCUACACACGUGCUACAAUGGUUGGUACAACGAGUUGCGAGUCGGUGACGGCAAGCUAAUCUCUUAAAGCCAAUCUCAGUUCGGAUUGUAGGCUGCAACUCGCCUACAUGAAGUCGGAAUCGCUAGUAAUCGCGGAUCAGCACGCCGCGGUGAAUACGUUCCCGGGCCUGUACACACCGCCCGUCA
rnacentral:rRNA from 1 species